GAUGAAGAACGUAGCGAAAUGCGAUAAGUAAUGUGGAUUGCAGAAUUCAGUGAAUCAUCGAAUCUUUGAACGCACAUUGCGCCCGCCAGUAUUCUGGCGGGCAUGCCUGUUCGAGCGUCAUUUCAACCAUCAAGCCCCAGGCUUGUGUUGGGGGCCUGCAGCUGCUGCAGCCCCCUAAAAGCAGUGGCGGACUCGCUGUCAUACCGAGCGCAGUAGUUACAUCUCGCUCUGGGCAUGGCGGCGGGCACCUGCCGUAAAACACUCUUUCUAAGGUUGACCUCGGAUCAGGUAGGAAUACCCGCUGAACUUAAGCAUAUCAAUAAGCGGAGGA
rnacentral:misc_RNA from 1 species